GUCCACGCCGUAAACGAUGGGCACUAGGUGUAGGAGGUAUUGACCCCUUCUGUGCCGAAGCUAACGCAUUAAGUGCCCCGCCUGGGGAGUACGGCCGCAAGGCUAAACUCAAAGGAAUUGACGGGGCCCGCACAAGCGGUGGAGCAUGUGGUUCAAUUCGACGCAACGCGAAGAACCUUACCAGGACUUGACAUGGGGAGGACGCACUCAGAGAUGGGUGUUCCCGCAAGGGCCUCCUGCACAGGUGCUGCAUGGCUGUCGU
rnacentral:rRNA from 1 species